rnacentral:piRNA from 1 species
UGAAUUUAGUAUGGACACAGAUGCUCUGGCU